rnacentral:rRNA from 1 species
UACGUAGGUUGCGAGCGUUGUCCGGAAUUACUGGGCGUAAAGAGCUCGUAGGUGGUUUGUCGCGUUGUUCGUGAAAACUCACAGCUCAACUGUGGGCGUGCGGGCGAUACGGGCAGACUGGAGUACUGCAGGGGAGACUGGAAUUCCUGGUGUAGCGGUGGAAUGCGCAGAUAUCAGGAGGAACACCGGUGGCGAAGGCGGGUCUCUGGGCAGUAACUGACGCUGAGGAGCGAAAGCGUGGGGAGCGAACAGG